rnacentral:misc_RNA from 1 species
AAGGAUCAUUAAUGGUGCUUGCAGAAAUGCUUGCACGGCGGCGGCCUUAAAACGCGCCAAAUGGCACCCUUUGUUUACGAGUACCGUUCGUUUCCUCGGUGGGCUUGCCUGCCAUGAGGACCAACAAAAACCUUUUGUAGUAGCAGUAUCUUCAGUAAAAACAAAUAUUAAAACUUUCAACAACGGAUCUCUUGGUUCUG